GACGAACCGUGCGAACGUUGUUCGGAAUCACUGGGCUUAAAGGGCGCGUAGGCGGCUGUCCAAGUCCGGGGUGAAAGCCCCCGGCUCAACCGGGGAAGUGCCUUGGAUACUGGGCAGCUCGAGGGAGGUAGGGGUCGAGGGAACUUCUGGUGGAGCGGUGAAAUGCGUUGAUAUCAAUUGGAACGCCAAUGGUGAAAACAGGUAGCUGGGAGUGUGCUGACACUGAGACACGAAAGCCAGGGGAGCAAACGGG
rnacentral:rRNA from 1 species